GUGCCAGCAGCCGCGGUAACACGUAGGGCGCAAGCGUUGUCCGGAAUUAUUGGGCGUAAAGAGCUCGUAGGUGGUCUGUUACGUCUGCUGUGAAAUCCUAGGGCUUAACCCUGGGCCUGCAGUGGAUACGGGUAGACUAGAGGCAGGUAGGGGAGAAUGGAAUUCCCGGUGUAGCGGUGAAAUGCGCAGAUAUCGGGAGGAACACCGGUGGCGAAGGCGGUUCUCUGGGCCUGACCUGACGCUGAGGAGCGAAAGCGUGGGGAGCGAACAGGAUUAGAAACCCCGGUGGUCC
rnacentral:rRNA from 1 species